CGCCUGGAGUCUCGCCCGGAGCCUCGUUCCGCGGCGACGUCACGCGGAGGAGGGCUCGGAAGGAGGCGGUGCGCGCCUGUGGGGGACCCGCCAGGCGGAAUUAAACCCAGAACCUUGGUGUAUCAGGACAGUGCUCCAACCAGCUGAGCUACCUGGCCAAGGCCAUGGCAGAGUCGUCUUGGUGGAGAAGCCAAGGAGGGGAGCCUGCAGGAUCAAAGAUUGACGCAGAUGGGGAAAGGAACACUGAGGCUCCCUCUACUGGCAAAUCCCUUUAUUGUGCUCCAAGAGAAAUCAUCAUAAUUGCCAUCAUUUAUUAAUGUCUACUCUUUGUGACAUAUACCUUCAUUCACCAAAGUCUGAGUCAAGUACCUUAAAAUUUCAUGCACUGUUCACGGAUUGGACAUUUGGAUAGAAGCACUUUCUUCAGUGACUUGUGCUGCGGUGGACACAUACCUGUACACUAUACUCCCUGUGUGAUCAUAUGACUAUUCAUGGACAGAACCCCAAAGACAUUUCUUCCCCCUCUCUUAUCCCACAUGUGAGAUGCACAGUGCCAGCUAAUGACUACCAUCAAAACAUUCAUCUCUUGGGGCACUACAGAGAUCAUUAGAACAUGGUCGUAGGAAUGCAAAUGCCAGUGGCUGGGGCAGAUACUUACGC